rnacentral:rRNA from 1 species
GUGAACCUGCGGAAGGAUCAUUACCGAAUUGUCAACACGAGUUGUUGCUGGUCCUCAGAUGGGGGCAUGUGCACGCUCUGUUUACACAUCCACUCACACCUGUGCACCCUCUGUGGUUNUGUGGCAUGGAGGGCUCUGUCCUCUCGCUGUGGUUNUGCAUCUUUACACACACACACUAUAAUAAAGUCUUAUGGAACGUAUGUCGCGUUUAACGCAAUACAAUACAACUUUCAGCAACGGAUCUCUUGGCUCUCGCAUCGAUGAAGAACGCAGCGAAAUGCGAUAAGUAAUGUGAAUUGCAGAAUUCAGUGAAUCAUCGAAUCUUUGAACGCACCUUGCGCCCUUUGGCUAUUNUGAAGGGCAUGCCUGUUUGAGUAUCAUGAACACCUCAACUCUCAUGGUUUGCCAUGAUGAGCUUGGACUUUGGGGGUCUUGCUGGCCUAUGGUUGGCUCCUCUCAAAUGAAUCAGCUUGCCAGUGUUUGGUGGCAUCACGGGUGUGAUAACUAUCUACGCUUGUGGUUUCCCACCAGGUAACCUUCAGUGAUGGAGGUUCGAAUGGGGCUCAUAAAUGUCCCUCCACAGUGAGGACAGCUUUGAAACGUUGAUCUCAAUCAGGA